AUAAUUGCCUAUAUACCCCUCACACGUUCGGAUAUAUCCGAUCUACCCCUGCUUUUUUUCUCUUUCUAAAAUACCCUUCAUACGUUCCACCGUUAUUCUAAAAUAUCCCUGCAGUUAUCCUCUAUUAGCUUAACUCGGGUUAAACAUUGUAUACUAGAGUUAAAAUCUAAAUAAAAUACCUAUUUUGCCCCUACCAUAUUAUACUAAUUCCUUAAGUUAUCCUUCUCAUCCUCCUCGUCAUUCUCAUUCUCCCUCUUCCCCGUAUCGUCGUCUCCAACCCCUACCCCAACCCCAUCGUCGCGGAGAGGACGGCGACCUUUUCGACCCCGUCGACCCCUCGCUCUUCCUUCCCCCGCCCCGCCCUCGACUCCUUCCUGUCCCUUCACGAUGUCGUCCUCUCCCGGCGCUUCCGCUG
rnacentral:lncRNA from 1 species